rnacentral:rRNA from 1 species
CAGUAGCCGCGGUAAUACGAAGGGGGCUAGCGUUGCUCGGAAUUACUGGGCGUAAAGCGUGCGCAGGCGGUUGUGUAAGACAGGUGUGAAAUCCCCGGGCUUAACCUGGGAACUGCGCUUGUGACUGCACAGCUAGAGUAUGGCAGAGGGGGGUGGAAUUCCACGUGUAGCAGUGAAAUGCGUAGAGAUGUGGAGGAACACCGAUGGCGAAGGCAGCCCCCUGGGCCAAUACUGACGCUCAUGCACGAAAGCGUGGGGAGCAAACAGGAUUAGAGACCCCUGUAGUCCCUGUCUCUUAUAC